AAUUGAAUAUCUUUAGGUUUUGGACUGUUGGUCAGACAAAACAAGACAUUUGAAGAUGUCACAUUUGGCAUUAGGAAAUUGUGACAGGCAUUAUUUUCUUUAUUAUUUUCAAAC